AUCACCUCACUGCCUUGCUAAUUAGAACCUAAAAUGAUUGUACACCGAUACACUCUUGUAGUAAGUAAUUAAUGCAUGAUGGAAAUAAUUAAUUGGAUUAAUUAAGUGUUGUGAUUAAUUUAGGAAGUCUAAAGAAAUCAUAAAAGCGAUAAAAGAUCGUUUUGGGCUUAAAGAAACGUUCGGGUUUAAUUGGGUCCAUUGGGCCUAAACCCAUUGGGCUUUUAUUCAAGCAUUGGAUGACUAGAAAUAAAUAAAAGCCCAAAGCCCAAACCAACACAAAGGGGCCGGCCAUUUAAAGUGGAGAGGGAGAGAUGUUAGUCAAUUUGUUGACUAGGUUUCUUUUUGUCUAUAUAAGGAACUUUAUAGAGAUUUAUUCGUUAGGAUUUUUGUGUGUUUUAAAACAACAAAGAGGCAAAAGAAACAUCUCUCUAAAAAAACACCAAAGGCCGGCCACCUUGAGGGUGAUUUAGCUAACAAUCUUUCACCCUUUUGGUUAUUCCUCCAUCCAUCUCACUACACUAGUGGGGUGGAUAUUUAGAGGUCUUCUCUUUUGGUGACUAAAGGAGAACCUUGGAGCACUCUUACUAACAAAGUGGAGGAGGCAAGGAGGGAGGCUAGGCUCAAGGACUUCAAGGAGCAAAGGACUUGGAGGUGGUCCAUCCUUGGUCUAAAAUCAAGAUCAAGAGGUAUAGACCUAUACCUUCACUUUGUUCUUCACUUAAAUGUUUUAGAUGCAUUAUACAUAAACCUAUGAACCUUGAAGGGGAUUUGCAUGACUAUUGCUUUGAUAUUAUUUGAUAACAUGCUUCCGUUGCUUAUGUAUAUAUAUUUUGAAUUGUAUAUGCAUGCUAGUCAUUUAGAAAUCCCAUGUGUUAAACUCAUAAUUUUCCCUUCAAGUGGUAUCAGAGCCAAAGGUUUAUGUAUAAUGUGUCCUUUUGGAUUUUAUGCAUAUGGGUAUUAAUAUGAUGUAUGACAUAACUAUUGCUUCAUUCAAAAUAAGUUUAUCUUUUGUUUUUCAAUAGUUGAAAAAAUGUUAGUCAAUAGUUGAGAAAGAUAUGUAUGCAAAAGAUGUUUUGUAUGCAUGAAUGAAAAUUGAGUUUUGAACUAGUUUGACAUAUUAUUUCUUCAUUUAAAGUAUGUUUAUCUUUUGUUUUUCAAUGGUUGAAAAAUAUAAAUCAAGAGUUGAAAAAGAUAUGCAUGUAAAAAGGUGUUUUAGAUGCAUGAAUGAAGAGUAAGUUAUGAACAAAAUUUGGGGUUUUGUUACUUGUCGUAGGCACGGCAUUAAGGGGGUUUUUUGGGCAUGUGUUUGUGUUUUGUUGUAAGACACUCACACAUCAUUUUAAAGCUAGAAAGUAGAGCCCAUGUCACUUUAGUUUUUGGGUUUGAAAAAUCACCAAGAAUACACAAAUCUUGAAAAUAUGUUCAUGGUUUUGUUCUUGGUGUUCAUGGUUUGUUUUUGGUGAAAAUGGUUUUAUUUGGUUUUCAUAAAUUGUUUUAUGGUUUUGGAUGAUAUACUCAUCAUCCAUAGCCUUCCCAAAAAUUUAUUAAAUCCUAGACUUGACUAGGAAAUUUCCAUCAAUCCCUUUCACCUAAGUUUUAAUUCCAAAACCAAGUGACAAGCAAAUUUGGAUUUUUUCUACUUUGCAUUGAAUUAAAGCAAGAUGGGUGAGACUUCCCAUCUCCCCUUAAUGUGGCCGGCCACCCUAGUGGAUUUAUCCACUUGGGGGGGUUUUUGUAAUUUGGAAAAAGAUAUUUUAUACUUUUGAGUAUUUACGGUUUGACCCCUAACUUUUUCUUAUUUGCAUUUAGGCCCCUACUAACUAGAAAGUUAAAAUAUUUGAUUUUAAUUUUGUUAGUUGUUUAAACUCAUAAUACUAUUAUGCCCAUAUGCACUAAAUCUAAAUGUUCAUGUUGCAUUCCAUUUUGAUUAUUUAAUGUGAUUAAGUAGUUAGAAAAGGGUGACUAUGGACUUAUGCCUUAAACGAUAAUUGAGCUAUGAGAUAAGGCGCUAAAAUCAAAUUGUUUGAACCUUGGGAAUGUGUUUUAAUUACUGUUUUAUUGGACCUUGUCACAUUUGACAUUAAUCUAUCUCUCCCUCUUAGUAUGUGUAAUUUGUAGGAAUUUGUACAAAUCGGUUUGUGUUCUUAUUAUUUCUUAAUCUCUUUUAGUUAGUUGAUUCCCUCUAGUGCUAGACUAGAGUUUCUUUAACUAUUGGUAAGGAGACAUAACUAAAAGAGGGUUUUGACAUGAGAUUAAAGAUUAAAUGGGUCCAAUGCCCUAAUUAGCAAUGAAUGAUUGUCUUUCAUUUCUAAUGGCUCAAUGAAAAUGUUUUAAUUGGAUUGAAAAGCACGUAAUUAAAUUGACACAACCUCCCCGAGUUUAUAUUCAACAAUGUUGGCUCAUUGUUGCAAUAACCUAAUAAGUCCAUGGUCAUCCAAGAGCCUGAGAUAACUAUAAAGUCCAAUUUCAAAGGAAUGCAAAAACCUUAGUAGUAGUAGUUACUUCCAAUAUUUGAAAAUUCGUUUUUGAUAUUGAUUUGUUUUUCUUAAAACAAAUAGUGGGAGUAUCAUACGCUACUAAACUAUAAUGAAAACAAUUAGUAGUUAUAUAUAUCUCCAAUAUUUUGAAAAAUGUUUUGAUAUUGAUUUGUUUUAUGAAACGAAUAGUGGGGAUAUCAUAUGCUACUAAUUUCAUUAACUUUGGACUAGUAGUUGUAAUAG
rnacentral:lncRNA from 1 species